AGAUUCCAACAGCAUAGCCAUUGUUUUGUUCAUAAAACCCAAAGGCAAAGCGCCUAGACGGCGAAAACCAUGAUGAAUUGGUAGUAGGUGUUAGAGAAGAGCCAAGAGUUAUAUUGAACUGCCUUUGUUGUGCUAGUGCUACUCCAUGAAAUGCAGAUAAUAUUAAUAACCAUAGCAAAGCAGCCAUAGAUUUUAGCUUUUCUUCUCUUUUUU
rnacentral:misc_RNA from 1 species